GAAUGGAGAUGGACUCAGAAGUGAAGUUGUUUUGUUUUGAAAUGUGUUGAAAUAUGUGAUUCAGCUCCAGAAUAAUCUUGAGUGACCUUCUCAAUAUGUUCGCUAAAGCUAGCAAGCGAGUCAUCAUUAUCCACAGGGAGUCCUGUACUGACGUCAUCGGAAAGUAAUCACCUUGACUACACUCGCUAAAGAGAGGAGAAGGCUUGCAUCUAAAGCCUGAGGACACCAUGCUAGCUGUGAAGUCCGGGGGAGGCCGCGUCAUGUUGUGGGGGUGUCUGGCGGGACAACAGACUGAUGCAGCUCUCAAAAUAGAUGGCAUUAUGAGAAGAGAACAAUACUUUGUGUGGAAGUACCAAAGCCAAAUCUCAAGUCAUCAGCGAGGAAGUUCAAACUUGGACAUAAAUUGGUCCUCGAAAUGGACAAUGACUCAAGGCAUGCCAAAAAAAAUUCUCACAAAGUGACUUAAGGACAGAAGGACAGUUACUUCGAGUGGCCAUUACAACGUCCUGAUUUAGAAAAUUUGGCAGCCUAGAUGUAAGUGAAGCAAGGUGGCGUACGAAGGUGACUCAUUUACACCAGUCCUGUCAGAAGGAAUGGAAUGAAUAUUCAAUGUCACACAGUUUAAAAUGCAGUUCUACUAAAGAGUAAGGGAAUUUACACAAA